GACGAACGCUGGCGGCGUGCUUAACACAUACAAGUCGAACGGAAAGGCCCUUCUUUUGUGGGGUGCUCGAGUGGCGAACGGGUGAGUAACACGUGAGUAACCUGCCCUUGACUUUGGGAUAACUUCAGGAAACUUGGUCUAAUACCGGAUAUGAGCUCCUGCUGCAUGGUGGGGGUUGGAAAGUUUCGGCGGGUGGGGAUGGACUCGCGGCUUAUCAGCUUGUUGGUGGGGUAGUGGCUUACCAAGGCUUUGACGGGUAGCCGGCCUGAGAGGGUGACCGGCCACAUUGGGACUGAGAUACGGACCAGACUCCUACGGGAGGCAGCAGGGGGGAAUAUUGCACAAUGGGCGGAAGCCUGAUGCAGCAACGCCGCGUGCGGGAUGAGGGCCUUCGGGUUGUAAACCGCUUUCGCCUGUGACGAAGCGUGAGUGACGGUAAUGGGUAAAGAAGCACCGGCUAACUACGUG
rnacentral:rRNA from 1 species